GUCCACGCCCUAAACGAUGCGUGCCCGGUGUGGGGACUUCAAUCUGUCCCCGUGCCUUAAGCAAACGCGGUAAGCACGCCGCCUGGGAAGUACGGUCGCAAGACUAAAACUCAAAGGAAUAGACGGGGACCCACACAAGCGGUGGAGCGUGGGGUUUAAUUCGAUACUAAGCGAAGAACCUCACCCAGGCUUGACAUCUCGGGAAUCGACUGGAAACAGUUGAGUGCCGCAAGGAACCCGAAGACAGGCGCUGCACGGUCGUCGU
rnacentral:rRNA from 1 species